CUUUUGGUGCUGACAUGGUCAGCUCUUUUGCCAUGAAUUGACUCAUUUUGUCUAAUAAGAGGGCUGCGGCAUACCAACAUUACCGAAGCAAAGGUCUUGUUACGAUCGUUACCAGGUUGGGGAUCACCGUUGUCGUGGCAAAUCUCUUUCAGGUCCAAAUUUCUCCGGGGUGACGCCACUGCACGUGCGCACCAUAUCGAGGCGACAGCAUCAAAACAUCAUCUAGGUAUUUUAUAUAUUUUUACGUAUUAUCAGCUACUUUUUUGAGGUUUUAUUGUCAAAUUGCUAUUACUUUAUUAUACUCGUACGUGGAUAUGUUAGCAUAGGAAUGGGGCAAGUAAGCAAGGGUAGUGAGUGAUAAUAUGGCACCAAAAUCUUCCUUUGCCUAUGUCAAGUCCUCCCACCAUGGUUUACAUUUUUGUAUUUCACGUAUUGUCAACGUCGGUAUGGAAUUACUUUAUUGUAUGUGGAUAUAUUAGGACAAGAAUGGGACAAGUAAACAAGGGUAGUGAGGAAUAACAGAACACCAAAAUCUUCUCCCUUUGCUUAUGUCAAAUCCUACCACAAUGUUUUAUGUUUAAAAUAUUCCACAGACAAUGAAACAUUAGUAAUUUGUCAAUAAAAUUCCAUAGCGAUGUUGACAAUACGUAAAAUACAUAAAUAUAAAACAUGGUGGUAGGACUUGACAUAGGCAAGGGAAGAUUUUGGUGCCCAGUUAUCACUCAUUGCUCUUCUUUACUUGCCCCAUUCCUACACUAACAGAUUCACAUACAAUAAGGCAAUAGUAAUUUGCUAAUAAAGCCUCAAAAGUUGAUAAUAAGUAAAAAAAUAUAUAAAAUACUUGGAUGAUGUUUUGAUGCUGUCGCCUGCGCAGCAUCAGGUGCGCAUGCGCAGUGGCGUCACCCGGAAGAAAUUUGGACCUGGGAGAGAUUUGGCACGACACCGUAACCACGAAAACAAAGACUAUGAAAUCAGAUUGAGAUGUUGGUAAUGCCUGUUACCAGAUAAUGUCGUGUGUGAUGAACUGGCAGGUGGAGGGUCCUUACUGCACAUCAAUCUAUCAUUGGCAACUGCAAGGAGACAACAGUAUUGAUCUCGGACUGCCUGUGUUGCGGGACCCGACGUUGUGCACGUGGGCGCCUUUCGUCUUCCUGAUUGGCCGAGUGCUGUCCCAGCGAGCAGAUGGUGAACGUUCAUUGGUCGAUGCAUCCACGGAAGGUACGCAGGCGAGGUCUGUGGUUGGUGCGUUCCGGCUGCUCGGGCAACACAGGACCUGCACUCCGAGCAAUGAAGAGGAUGGAACCGAAGGAAGGAAACAAUUCACAGGUUUUGGAAAAAAAAAAGAAAAUAUCAACUCUUGGUCGCUGCGUCAUUAAUCAUGAUACAGACGUGCAGGAAGUGACACGAGACUGCUGCCCGGAAUCUGCUGCACUUGUAGAUCUUCAGCGGUUCGAAAACAAACAGCGUGGACAAGCUGCAGCCCGUGGUCUGAACCGAGUUUCAAGGAGUUUCACAGCUGAGAAAGUUUUCCACCAUUGUGAUACGAGGUGUUGCUUUCAACAUUUAGGACUAAAAUUAUGUCAAGUGACAACAAUGGUGGUGGUGGUUAUGGUGGUACCAGGUGAUGGUGGUGUGAGGCUGACUACCUCAGGCCGCACCUUGGGCUGCAUGCAGUUGUUACUUGAGAAUAGUUAGGUUUUGAUGCAUUGCAUCCCUUCUUCUUCGCCACCAUUACACCAAACCGGACCACGCAACGUCACCACUCCAGCUUUAGUGUGCCUCGCAGCACAUCACAGUAUUGUGGGUCGCUCACCACACCAGCAACACACACACCUCAACCACACCGUGUCAUAUCAUCACGUUAGUCCAAUCAACUCACCACACGCUACCAUACCACCGUACACAUCUUGCCUGAUCCUGCCACAACUCAUGCCACAUAUGGUAUAAUUACAUCCUUUAUUCCCUUUCACUAACUUUGUUGCUUGAUGAAUAGAAGUUACUGUUCAUCCGGGCCAGCUAUGCUUUAUUAUUUUCACUGCUGGAUAUAGUUUUGUUGCUGGUUUUGUCAGAAUUCUUCCUACAUGUAUUUUUCUUACCAUAAAAUAAAGGAUAUUCUCAUC